ACAGGGAAUAGGGGAAAAAGAAAUUAAAGACCUCUUACAGUCCCCCUUUCUCCCCUAAUAUUUGUCACAUUCCCAGGCAGGGGAGUUGCCUGCCCAUGGCAUUGCUCCAGAUUAACUACUAAUGAAUUAAUUCCUUGUGUGCACGCUCAUGUAUGCCAGAAUAAGAGUGUGUUGUUCCAACUCUCUCACCCUAGAUCACGCAGUUUUGGAGUGAGGGGUUUUAGAGUUAGCACCAAGAGAAUUCAUACUAAUUGUAGCAUAAGGCAAAACGUGUUUAAUCUGGAUUAAGCUGUGCAAUACAUAAGGCAUAAUGCAGCCUGCCUCCUACCAACUCCCUGUAUGGAUGCUGUCAUUCCCAGCAGCUUUAGUUGGCUACCACCCCACAUCACUGUGUCUACUCUGAGCACAAGAUUGGCCUCUGUCCUGCUGCUCUCCCUAGUCCUGUGCUCAGGAUGUCAGGUAGGAAAUGUUGCUUGUUUAAUACAAUGGAUUUGGUAGAGGAAAGAAAGGUGAUGCUAAUGGACAUUGUGAUCUAGCUGCUCUUAGCAGGGUGAGUGUGGUGUUUGCGCAGGAGGAGCCAAGAAAGAAUCAAAACUAAACAAGUGUAUGCUGGCUGAACGUUUAUUUCAUUCUGUGCUUUUUUUUUUGUUUAAUUGCUUGGUUGUUUUUAAGUAUUACCUAACCACGUGUGGUUUGCAGAGGUUUAAAUGCUUCUGGAGAUCUUAAUGCAAAGUAGGGUGACCUUGGUGUAGCCUUUGUUAUUGUAAUAUAAAGUAGUUCUUGAGCUGAGGAGGCUGUCUGUAUGACUGUGCUAGCUUGAUAUCCGUGAAAGGACUGUGUGUGGAUUGCAGGUGUGCUGCAGCUGUGGUGGUGAUGUUUGGGCUUUCUUGGUGGGGAAUGGAAUCCAUACUUGAUGUGUUUGUGUUGCAUCUGUAGGGAACAGUGUAAACAACAUAAACAGAAAACAUAAGUUCUAAACUGCAUAUAUUUAAGUGCAUUUUGGAUGUGCAAUGUUAGCCUCUUAAGAGGAUGUGGCUGAAGAAGUUGGGAUCGUUUAGUUUGAAGAAGAGGGGGCUCUCUACAAUUGCCUCCUCUCUCAGGUAACAGUGAUGAGGUAAGAAGUAGCAGCC
rnacentral:lncRNA from 1 species